GGCAACAGAUACGCAGAAAAAGACACUCGGCGGGUAGAAAUUGGAUGGCUUCACGUUCUGAAGGGUGAGUGUCACCAGGUCCGAACCAAAGGUGGCGGUGGAACACGGCACUUGUCUGUGGAGAAAACAGUAACCGUGGCUGAGCUGCUAGAGAUAGGCAAAGACUUAUUCUUCCCAGACGGACACUCUGCCAAAGGACCCAUUGGGAAGUUCGAGUUUGACCUUCGUGAUUUCAGCCAGAAGUCACUUCCUCUUGAUUGUACCGUAAACCAGCUGUAUGAAAAGACCAAGUUGAGAAUGCUUCGCGUUUAUACGUGCUCCAGGGAUAAAGACAGCUCAAUCGUGCUCUCGGAUGCAUCCUCAGACGAUGAGAGGCCAGUGAAGACAGGGGAACCAACCAGGCAAUCAACAACAGACCAGUGCAGUCAUGAGGUGGAUUCCCCACUUGCCCUUGCCAUCAAUGUGUCUCUUGAAGACUUUGAAGCACAGUUUGGAAGUAUUUCUGCUGAUAUUGGUGAAGACUCCACCCUUCUUUGGAAUCCUUGUGACCUCAACAAUAUCCAGCAUUCUUCAUUGAACGAUGGACCUGCAUCAUCGAACAGUCUUACAGCAUCACCAGAUCAGUCUGAAAAAGAAGUCCUGUACGUGGAAUUAAGACGAGUAAACAUAGUUCAUGAUGUCCUUAAUGUCUUCAUGGAACCAAGAGUACUGAAUGUUAAUCUGAAAAUGGAGUUAAUAAAUGAGAAAGCUGUGGACAGUGAUGGUGUGUCAAGAGAGGUGUAUUCCGCCUUCUGGGAACACUUCUUGGAACAGUGUGAGGGGGAAGAAGAGAGAGUUCCCAGACUACGACCAGACUAUUCUGAGAAGGAAUGGAAAGCAGUUGGAAGAGUUUGGUUGAAAGGAUACUUGGACCACGGUAUCAUGCCUAUCAGACUGUCACCAGCUUUUGUUCUUGCAUGCUGCCAAGGAGUCAGCUCAGUGGAUGAAGAACUCUUGAUGACGUCCUUUGCCAGAUUCCUAUCAGUGACUGAGACACUUUGCAUUGAAAAAGCAAUGCAGGGCAACAUGGAUGAGAGUGAUGAGGAGGAAUUACUCGACCUCUUCUCAAGA